AACGAACGCUGGCGGCAUGCCUAACACAUGCAAGUCGAACGAGACCUUCGGGUCUAGUGGCGCACGGGUGCGUAACGCGUGGGAAUCUACCCUUGGGUUCGGAAUAACUCAGAGAAAUUUGAGCUAAUACCGGAUGAUGUCGCAAGACCAAAGAUUUAUCGCCCAAGGAUGAGCCCGCGUAGGAUUAGCUUGUGGUGAGGUAAAAGCUCACCAAGGCGACGAUCCUUAGCUGGUCUGAGAGGAUGAUCAGCUACACUGGGACUGAGACACGGCCCAGACUCCUACGGGAGGCAGCAGU
rnacentral:rRNA from 1 species